UACGAAGGGGGCUAGCGUUGUUCGGAAUUACUGGGCGUAAAGGGCGCGUAGGCGGUGUGUCAAGUCAGGCGUGAAAGCCCCGGGCUCAACCUGGGAACCGCGCUUGAGACUGGCACGCUCGAGUUCGGGAGAGGAUGGUGGAAUUCCCAGUGUAGAGGUGAAAUUCGUAGAUAUUGGGAAGAACACCGAUGGCGAAGGCAGCCAUCUGGACCGACACUGACGCUGAGGCACGAAAGCGUGGGGAGCAAACAGGG
rnacentral:rRNA from 1 species